UGUAUGUAUUCCUGUAAUAAAGAAACAAAUUUAAGCAUUCUGAGUCCAUUUAUUAUUUUUAUUUUAGUCGUUACUUUAUUUCGUUUUUCAUAAUGGAAGCAUUGAAAAUGUUUUUUGAGGUCCGAUGUUGGAAUAUGAUAAAGAGUAUAUAGUCCUCCAUUUUUUUUUUUAAUUCGUAGAUUGGAGAAACUAAUAUAAGGUGAAUGGGACGUGUUUGUGUGUGUCUUUCUUUUUUACGUAAUCUACACUUUACUAUGUUGUCGGAGUCAUAAAACAUAUCAUAAUAAUAAUAAUAAUAAUAAUAAUAAUAAUAAUAAUAAUGAUAAUAAUAAUAAUAAUAUGAUAUGAACAAAAAGAAAACAAAAGUAUAAUACAAAUAAUUAUAGAAAAGAAACAAAACUUCGCCAUUUUCAGUUAGAAAUCUGAUAUCUUUUUUUUCUGAGCUUUGAUACAAUUUCGGUAUUAUUUUUCAGGAAUAUUAUGUUUUAUCCUUGUCGCUUUUUUCGGUUUUCUUUUUUUUAUAUAUACAUUAUUUGCAUUUCUAAACACAUUGAUUUUCGUUUUGAAUAUGCGACCUGUCCAGUUUUUAAAAGGUGGUGUAAGUUUAACCGAAACAACACCAGUAAUUUUACUGGUCUGAAGCUUUGAAAUUUUAGAUGAUUUUUCUCAUUCGUCUAACAUAACUUUUAACUUUUAUAAUAUGUAUAUAUAUAUAUGUAUAUAUGUGAGUAUGUAUGUAUACAUAUUGCUGCUUCAACCUUCAGUGCAGAUAUUUUCCCUUUAUUAGGCCAGCUCUAUGUAGAGAGUCGUAUACUUUGCUGAAACAAUCGCAGUUAUUUUUACAAGUGUUUAUCUUUUUCAUUUGAUUUUCUUAUAAAAGAAUGUCUUAGGCAUGAAAUUCGUUUUGCUUUCAAUCAAGUUGGAAUUCAAAUUCGAGAAACAUCGGCAUUUAUAAUCGUAAACCUCGGAAGAUGAUGCCAACUCAUCGAUUUGGAAUCACUUUGUAUAGUUCGCUAUUUGUACAGGCAUUACACUCAAACUUUAUAGAAGAGGCAUUUAUUAACAUUGUGUGACGAUGGCGUUCUUCAUCCACGGAGCUUCAGCUUUUUAAAGUGAAAUUAAUAGGCGUCAAACAAGAAUCUAAACCCAGACUGGACAUUCUAGUCUUCUGUAUUAUAUCUCUUUCUCAACCCCGCUUGCCCCAUCAUUUUUAAUGUACAUUUUAAAAUCAAUUUUGACUUUCACAAAUACUUAAAUAUUUGAAGAGAAGGAAAAUCUGAAAGUCAUGGCAUUCAGCCAUAUUUCCAGGGCAUUAGCAGUGUAGCGUGAAAUAAAGGAGAUUCAGUAAGGAAUGGAACCCAGAUUUGCGGAUUUGAUUCUCCAGCAGCUCAUUUUCUUUCAACAAUACUUGUUGCGUCAACUUUUGGUAAUCACAUAAACUUCCUGUUGUAUUUCUUCAGAUUUCUCGUUUAAGUUCUUUCGUAAAUUUUUAGCGUUCAUUUUCUCUUUUGAUUUUAAAAUAAACUGUGACAUAUCCAUACAACACUUUUUUCAUCCAUUGAUACAUCAGUCCUUUCAUGCCAAUCAAUACAUUCGUCCCUCAAUACAUUCUUUGUUACAUUCGUUCUACUAAGAAAGUAUUACUCCAUCCAUCUAUUCAUUCACAGAUGGUUAUAUCCAUACAUCCUACUAUUCGCCCAUUAAUCAAUUCGUUUAUCUGCCGAGCCAUGUUCCACUUUACUCCUCUCACAAUCUAUCAAUCCACACAGGGAAAUCAAUAUUCACUCAUCCACAAACCCAUUCACAGCUGCGUCAUUUUUUGCAAUGUCAAUACAUUCAUCUCUCCACACGUAAUCAGUCAAUCCAUCAAGUUGCCCCGAUCUCUUAUACUUCAAAAAUUGUAUUAACAUUUCAACACGUUUAAUCAAAUAUGUCCUCUCAGUUUAAACUCUCACUUUCGGAGGGCUGGAAUUCUUUUGGCUUACUAACGUGUUAGUCACAGGAGGAAGGGCAACACCUAUGACAUUUUCCAGGACCUUUGAGACUAAAGAAGAAGACCCAGGACCUGAUCCGAAUACUCGAAACGGAGUGGAUGCACUUAAAGGUAGCCUAGUGGGCCAAAUGGUGGUUUUAAAACGGGUAACAGAUUAUAUCUGUCAUCCUGAAUGAGAGUAUCAACCAUAGGGACUGGAGAUGAAAAACUAAAACAGGAUAUAAAAACGAAAUUUAAAAAAAAAACCCAAACAACAAAGGAAAAACGGAAGAACUCCUGACAAUAUUUUUUCUUUAUCAUUUUUUUUGUUUUGUUAAUAUAGAAAACACCUAUAGAAUUAUUUCAUGCAAGAAAAUGUUCAAAGAUGUACUGUCUAUGCUGGACUAAUGUUUAUUCGCUAAACAGAAUUCCAUCCUACUUCAAGAACUACGAUUUUCAGGAAUCUUUCUACAGAUUCACUACAUACAUGCAGUAAGAACGACGGAGAUUUAUACCACUCUUCAAUCUAAGAACUAUAUAAGAUAUUUGUGAUUAUUUUUGCUGGGUUUUCGGUUUUUUCCCUUUUUUUCAGAAAAUUUCUUGAUUCUACGUUUGUUUAUCACCAUUUGUUCAAUAUUUUUGUUUUCAUAUUUCUUUAUACUUUAAAGAUUUCACAUUUCCCUUCAUCCCUGCAUUGCAAAAUUUGCAAGCAACCCCAGGACACUUAUGCAUUAAAAUACAUAUCUCACUGUCUCAGUCUGUCUGUCUAUUCUGUCUGUCUGUCUGUCUCUCCAUAUGUGUGUAUAUAUAUAUGUAUAUAUCUAUAAUUACACACACACGUACACACGCACGCACACACACGCACACACACACACACACUCACACACAUAUAUAUAUAUAUAUACAUGAAUGUAUAUAUAUUUCGAUAUACAUUUAUAUUCACACAGAUAUGUUUAUGUUACAUAAACACUUACAUAUACAUACACAGACAGGCACACAUCUACACAUACAUAUAUAUAUAUAUAUAUAUAUAUAUAUAUAUAUAUAAGUAUGUAUGUAUUUAUGUAUGUCUGCUUGUAUGUAUAUGUAAAGGCAAUAUAUUGACUAAAAUAUAUAGGUGGAAUCUUCGGACGAUAUAACACCAGACAUGUUCUACGAACGUAGUCUCGUACAAACAUAUCCGUAAAAAAUAUACAUUUAUGUCAGUUUGCUCGUGAGAUAUCAUGCAAAGGUUCACAGGAUUAUCAAUUCAGACGCAAAGUCAUUAGUAACAAUAUUUUAAGUGAUAUCGUCUAAUUUAAUUUACAGAUUUUACACUUGACUUGCAUUAUGUAAUCUACUUUUGUUCACGUAAAUUCAUUUACAGUGCAUAUAUGUUUAUAUAUACAUAUAAAAAUAAUAUAUAUAUAUGUAUAUAUGUAAGUAUAUAUAUAUACAUACAUAUAUACAUACAUGUAUAUAUAUAUAUAUAUAUAUAUAUAUAUAUAUAUACAUGUAUGUAUACACGCGCACACAACCUCUCUCUCUCUCUCUCUCUCUCUCUCUCACACACACACACACACAUAUAUAUAUGCCGAAGACAACAUUGUAGCAUCUUAUACCAUUCAGAAAAAGUGUCCUUCAACCGUCUAGACAGUAUGAACGCACACCAUACAUGCAUACGUGUACGCACUUAUGCAUACACACACACAAACACGCAUAUAGAUAUACAUAUAGUCACACAUACACACACACACAAAUAUAUAUAUAUAUAUAUACAUAUACAUACAUAAAUAUACACAUAUAUAUUUACAUAUAUAUUGUAUAUAUAUAUAUAUGUGUGUGUGUGUGUGUGUGUGUGUGUGCUUGUGUGCAUACAUAUAUGCGUGUUGUAAUUUACUUCUUCAACUUUCAAAAUCUUUCUAUAUAUAUCUUUACUCUAUCGUUUAUUUAAUAAAAAUUAUUUUUUUCAUAUUUGAGGAAAAACAGAUUAACAUAAACACACGCACUCACAUACACGCACGCACACAAACACACGCACACACACACAUGCACGCACACUUACACAUGCGAGUAGAUAAUCACGCAUAAACAUUGAACAGAGAGAGUUGUAUCUGGCAGAAUCGAUAGUGUACCGUACAAGCACACAAAAUGGCUAUCGUUCGUUUUCCAUCACGAGUGCAGGCUUCCCUGUGUCCGGGGCAAAUCUUUUUACAACUGACAAAUCAAUCACCUAUUUCUAAACUUCUUCCCCUUACUUAUUCUGAUGAUGAAAUACAUCAGUACUAUUGUAAAACUUCCAUUAAUGCCAUGAGUUAUAGUGAAAUACUGGCACCAACCCAUUUCAUGAGUAGGGUAUGGAAAGCGGUGAUGGAUUCUGCCAAAUUGGUUUGUUUUAAAAGCUUAUGUCUUCUUGACACCCCUAUAGCUCUAAUUUACAGAUCUCUUAAACUAUUGUCCCUGAAGCUAACCAAAUGUACGAAUUGAGAAGUCGCUGAUAAUUAGAAGAAAAUUAUAAAGUGACCCAUUUCUUAAAAAGGCAUUUUUAUAUUUGGUAUGAUUGAUUUAAUAAAUAUUAAUGUUUGUUUUAAGAAGUAGUCCAAAUAUAUUAGUCAAAAUUUUGUGUUGGUCACUCACAGACUUUUCGUGUAUAUCCUGACAUAGAUAUAUAUUCGUCUAUUUGUAUCUUAAAAAUGUAUUGAAAUAUCUAUAUAAAUAUAUACAUACAUAUAUACAUACAUGCAUGCAUGUAUAAAUUCAUUCAUGCAUAAAUAAAUAUAUAAGUACAUAUAUUUAUAGCCAUAUAUAUACAUGCAUAUACAUACAUACAUAUAUAUACUAUAUAUAUGUGUGUGUAUAUAAGUAUAUACAUAUAUAUGUAUGUAUAUAUAUAUAUAUAUAUAUAUAUAUACAUAUAUAUGUAUAUAAAUAUAUGUAUGUAUGAAUAUAUAUAUAUAUUCAUACACAUUUAUUUAUAUAUAUAUGUAUACUGAAUUUCGAUAAUUAUGCAACUGAUGACAUUAAUUUGAAGGUAUUAUUUAGUUCCUCAGCCCCUAAAUAGUUAAAUGUUAUUUUUGCUACAAGGAAACAAAAGACGCAAGCAAUAUUUUAAAAAUUUCAUGUGUUCUCUCUUAUUAUUUGCUUUGUAAUUUUUAAAUUUUAUUUUUUCCACGUUUAUAAUUAUAAUUCAUGUGAAGACCCUGUUAAAACUGUAGUCAUAUCUCGAUGCAAUCUUCAAAAAUUAUUUUUUUUUGUACUGUGCUUUGAAAUUUAUUUCUACCAUUUAAACUAUAAUCUAUGUUCUCUCUAUAAACGUUCUUCCUAAAAUGUCGAAUUUAGCUUAUUUUAUUUAUUUCAAGUCACGUCAUGCUAAUGAUUUCAAAAAUGGAUGAAAUAGUGCUACACUUGGCUAGCAACGUAUAUAAUAUGCACAAAAAAAAAAAAAAAAAACUGUGCAUGCUCUAUACACCAUCUUUAGUCUUUGAUAUAAAUUCCAAAUUUUCAAAUCUGCCUGAACUUAAUUUUAUCUAUAUGUGAUUGACUCCCCUGUAAUAGUUAGCUACCAGGGGCACGCAUUAUGUGCUGAUUAGGUUUUAAAAGUCUAGCCUUGUUCAUCAAUGAAUUUAGCUUUGUAUGCAAUUUCCAAAUUCACAAGAAAGAGAAAGACGUAACAUUUGACGUAUGUUUUUUCUCAGCUGUAUUAAUUAACAUAAUUAAAAUAUAUUCAACUGGCUAUCGCUCGUAAGAAUUAAUCUUCUCUCAUCAGGCUACUUUUCUCUUAAAUCUGCCAUAGUUAUUACUUUUAUGCUAUUAAGUUGAUAUUCUUGAGACAGAAUCGUACAGAAUGAUAAAAUUGCAUUCCUCAUUCAAGUGUUUUCUAGAGCAAGUUCUCAAGUGUAAGCGCAAGUAAAGUCAGUGGUGAAGAUUGAUUUGCAACCAUGUAGUUUCAGGUGCAAUCCCACUGCGCGGCACGUUAGGCAAGUGAAAUCUACUAUAGCCCGUGGGCCGCACAAUGCCUUUUGUGUGAAUUUGGUCGACGGAAAUAGUGAUAUAUAUAUAUAUAUAUAUAUAUAUAUAUAUAUAUAUAUAUAUAUAUAUACAUACAUACAAAUACAUACUUAUAUAUGUGUAUGUGUCUUUGUAUUUGUGUUGUUCCUCAUUUCUGCGGGACAAACGAUAUUACUUUGUUUACAAUCCAUAGCUUAGUGGUUUAGCAUAAUAGAUAGAUAAAAUAACUACCAAACUUUUAAAAAACAUAAUUAAUGGUGUCAAUUUGUUCGACUAAACCCUCCAAGGGUUUAUUACGGCAUGACGAAAUCCAAUGACGGGAACAAGUCUACUAUAUAUGUUAUGCAAAGAAACCUCGCCUCAACGAGGAAUUGAUAUCUCCGAUUGCUUGGACUGCAUGCGCCUGCAUUAUUUUCAAUUAACUACUUGUUAAUUACUCUUUGCUAACAAGAAACUGCUUUUUAAUGAGCAGUAAUAAGAUACGUCUUGCACGAUUUUUGCAAGUCCAAUAACUUUCUAGGUAAGUUUUUUAACGCUUGAAUUUGAUAAAACAAAUACUGGCUUCGACGCCCCGCGAUAUUCCAAAUGUGUAUCUAGAGUUAACUAAAUAUUUCAUUGGAUAUGAAUGAAAUACAUGGAAUAUAACUCAUAAUUUAAUAGCAAGGCAAUAAUGUGGCUUUUGUCACCAGAUGCAUGUACUACACUAAACACAAUAGUUAGAGAACUCAGCAGCGUUAAUAUAUUAUGUAUACAUACAUAAAUACAUACAUACAUACAUAUAAAUAUAUAUAUAUAUAUAUAUAUAUAUAUAUAUAUAUAUAUAUAUAUACGUGCACACACAUACGCGCGUACAUGCACGCGCACGCACACAUAGACACACCGAAAUGUGUACAGAUAUAUACAUAAAUAUAUAUAUGUGUGUGUGUGUGUGUGUGUGUUUGUAUAUAUGUAUGAAUAUAUACAUACAUGUGAGCCUUUAAUUGCAUGAAAUUAUUUUGAGGUAGAAGAAUUUGUCUGUAGGCUACUUGCACGACCUAAAUUGUGUAUAUGAACAAUUCGAUUCCAGUAUAUUAGAAGAGUAUUCUGAAGUUAAAUACGUGAGAAUUUAUGUGAAAAUUUAUAUAUUGUAUACUAAAAAUGUGACGUCAUCAGUUAUAUACAGUAUAAGCUCUAUCACCUUGAACUACCUUCUCAAAUAUGCUAGAAUACGUAUUUCUAUAGUUAUGUGGAUGUAAAUGUGAUGUAUAUACACAUAUGUAUAUAUAUGUAUACAUAUAUAUUUUUUAUUUCAAUUUUAGGGCGUCAUUGAAACUAUCAUAAACCGUAUAGAGUGAUUAAAAUCGUUGUGGAUCUUAUGAAUUUAAAUUAAAAAUUGGUAAUAAUAUUCUUAAUUUGACUUUCCAAAAUACUAAAUAUUUGAAUAUUUAAAUAAUGGCAUACCCAAUCUUUCAUCAGUUACAUAGGUAAAGUAUGUCUAUACAUGUAUAGAUACAUACACUCACAUGCACUCACACACACGUUCACACACACACACACACACACACAUACAUACACACGCAUAUAUAUUACAUGGUAAAUAUUUUGGUUAGAUAAGAAUGAAGCAAAGUUUAAGAAAAAGUGCCAUCGAAAUGUUAUUUAUAGAUUUACGUGGUACACAUGUAUAUAUAUAUAUAUGUAUAUAUAUAUAUAUAUAUA
rnacentral:lncRNA from 1 species